UACGUAGGGUGCGAGCGUUAAUCGGAAUUACUGGGCGUAAAGCGUGCGCAGGCGGUUCGCCAAGUCAGGUGUGAGAUCCCCGGGCUUAACCUGGGAAUUGCGCUUGAAACUAGCGGGCUUGAGUGUGGCAGAGGGGGGUGGAAUUCCACGUGUAGCAGUGAAAUGCGUAGAGAUGUGGAGGAACACCGAUGGCGAAGGCAGCCCCCUGGGUCAACACUGACGCUCAUGCACGAAAGCGUGGGGAGCAAACAGG
rnacentral:rRNA from 1 species